rnacentral:lncRNA from 10 species
UUUCUAUAGAGGAAAUUUAUUGCUUUUAAGUGCUAAGUCCACUUCACUCACCCGACACUUUAAUAUCGUUAAAGAUAUCCCAAGAAAAGAUGGACAGAAAUAAAGCACAAGCUCUGGCUAGGACAGUGGUGGGACUGACAGAGGAAUUUCCUGGCUUCUCUCCUGGAAAUGUGGGCCCUAGAGCAGGUCCCGGGCUGCAAAUAGUGCAAAGCCAUGUGGAGGCAAGGCAGAGGUUACCUGGUUACUGGCCAGAGGCUCUCCAAACUGCUUCCGGACAUUGAGGUGGUCUCGGGUGAGGAUGACAGAGGCGUGGGCAGCCCCCAGGGAGCAGGAAGCUAGAGGGGAAGAGCGCCGACGUUCCAACCAAGCUGGAAAACAGCAGUGCCUGUCCCGGACCGCUACCUCCCUGCCACACCCCUGCGUAUCUCACCAAUAUUGAUCCUCCCUCCGUUCAGUCCUCUCACGGCAAUGAGGAAGCCCUGCCCCUCGCUCCCAAUUCUGUUGGCCACAGGGACAGCACAGUCUUCGAAGAUCACAGCUCGUGUUGGCUGGGAGUUCCACCCCACCUGGCAAAAAUCAGGGACUGCGUGGUUGCCCAACAAUCCAGCAGGAUUGUGACACCAACUGCCCCCAAUUUCAGUGCCUCUAAUUGAAAACCACAAACUAUCUACAAUCUCCCAGUUCCUCUCUGGCUCUGAAAAUAGACUGCCUUUACAUCAUUUCCUUGCUCUCUUUUGUUGAUAGGAUAAACUCCAUUUCUAAGCCUUUUACUGAAGGUCUUCCUGCCCAGGAGUUAGCAUGGGCUUCACACACAGUAGAAGCCUAGGAAAUGGUUGCUGUGUUACCAAAGAGAAGGGGAUGCUAAAAUGCAUAAUGCCUUACAGUUACAGAGGAUCAGGAAGGAUCCUGUAGGAAAAUACAGAAACCCGAGGAGCUGUGAGAAAGAGGUACACUUAGGGGUCAUUUCAUUACCUGCCUUCUCUCACAAAGUCCCCCCAUAACAGUACAAACUAGAGAGAGAUGACUGCUUUGAGCAUCUGGUCUAAAAAAUCUGAAUGGGUCUUGAGCCCUUAUUACCAAUUACGGUUACAUGAUCACAAGUCUCCUGUUCAUGCCCUGGCCAUGGCGGCUCUUAAUCCUAGAAGUAUCUUACUUUUCAAAUUACUUACAGUACCUAAGUGUCCUUCUUGGGUUGCUGAAAU